UACGAAGGGGGCUAGCGUUGUUCGGAAUCACUGGGCGUAAAGCGCACGUAGGCGGAUCGUUAAGUCGGGGGUGAAAUCCCUCGGCUUAACCGAGGAACUGCCUGUCAGACUGGAAGGCUUGAGACCGGGAGAGGUGAGUGGAAUUCCCAGUGUAGCGGUGAAAUGCGUAGAUAUUGGGAGGAACACCAGUGGCGAAGGCGGCUCACUGGACCGGAACUGACGCUGAGGCGCGAAAGCGUGGGGAGCAAACAGGG
rnacentral:rRNA from 1 species